UGGGGCAGGGUGAGAGGAAGGAGAGGAGCAGGAAAGGUAACUAUUGAUUACUGGACUUAAUACUUGGGUGAUGAAAUAACACAUACAGCAAAGCCCUGUAACAUUUGUUUAUGUAUGUACAAAAGCUUCACAUAUACCCCCAAACCUGAAAAAAAAAAAAAAAAAAAGAGUUAAGUGUGCUUACGAGCUCUGUGAGUCUGCUGAAAUGAUGUUACAUGACCAGCUGUCCUCAAUCAUUCAGCCACCGCUCCCUAGCCAAUUUUCUCUGUGCAAGAGUGGCUAUUUACUUUGGUUACCAGAUAAAAUUUAUGUAAGUGGUUGAGCCUAGACUUAGGAGCACUAGUUUCAGAAAAAAAUGAAACUAUAUAUAUUUCCAUGUUUUUUCCAAAGCCAAGAGUAGUUUUGCCCUAAGACAACGGUAAUCAGUAUUUUUUGCUUUUGUUUUGUUUUGUUUUUCUUUACACUCUUUAACUACUUUAUACUUUUCACAUACCUUACUCUCUUGUACUCUUAAAACUUAUUGACGACUCCAAAGAGGUUUUACUUCUAGGUUGUAAAUAUCAGUACUCACUGUUGGAAACUUAAACAGAACCACUAUAAUGCUUAUUUAAUGAUGCAAAGGAAGAUAGCAAAGAUAAAAGCAUUGCAUACUAAUAACAUCUCGGUAAUAGGAUAAAGUUUUUUCUGGCCUCAGAAAUAGCCCUGAGAUCUGUCCUAAAAUUUCUGGCCUCAGAAUUAGCCCUGAGAUCUGUCCUAAAAUCAAAUGUCAUUUUGUUCCACAUAUGAAAGAGCAGAACCACAGACACAACUUGGAAAGUAAAACUUAUUUGCCUUGGUUUUUAUAAUACCUGAAUCUGGAAAUCUAUAAAACCUGUUAAGAUACUAGCAAAGCUUUCUCAAUUUUGAUGAGCUUAUUUUCUUUGUUUACUGACUAAUAUCUUCAUCUGCAAUAUAAAGUGUUACCAUUUUUGUUGUGUGUAAUCUGUCUAGAUAAUAAAGAUUUUCUUCUCACCAGA
rnacentral:antisense_RNA from 1 species